rnacentral:rRNA from 1 species
UACGAAGGGGGCUAGCGUUGCUCGGAAUUAUUGGGCGUAAAGAGCUCGUAGGCGGUUUGUCGCGUCGACUGUGAAAACCCGAGGCUUAACCCCGGGCCUGCAGUCGAUACGGGCAGGCUAGAGUUCGGCAGGGGAGACUGGAAUUCCUGGUGUAGCGGUGAAAUGCGCAGAUAUCAGGAGGAACACCGGUGGCGAAGGCGGGUCUCUGGGCCGAUACUGACGCUGAGGAGCGAAAGCGUGGGGAGCGAACAGG